UCUCCAAAUGCUGACAGCCUCCCAGUAAGAUACUCGUGCAGAACAAGGCAGCAUAGAAUAUAUUCUCUCUCUCUCUUUUUCUUUGUUUUGCCAGAGGUAAAGGAAAGUUCUGUGAGAGAAGGGAAGGAGGGGUGAAGACCAGUUCUGUGUUCUCCAGCUUCCAGUCACAUCUCAUUGGCACUAGAGAUAUGGAGAUGGAAGAAGAGAGAGUCAGUGUCCUCAGGGUCGAGGUGAAGAAGACAGAUGAUGUGCCAGUGUGAUGUGAUCAAGGCCAGCCAAAAUGACAACAUGGGAUGAAGGAAGAAUUGCCUCGAGCCAUUUCAGGCAGAGGGUUGUCUAUACUUUCAAAGUUUUCGAAGGAGUGGAUGAACCCUGAAGUCCUCCUCCGGUCUCAGCUGGUUCUCUGCUGCUACACUUUUGUGCUCUGUCAUCUCUUCCCCCGCUGAGCUGGAGAGAGAAUGUGGCAGCAGAGCCCUCCUGAUAUUUAAAGACAGGACUGAGAGACUCCUCAGCCACGACCAUGUGUGUCAGUCAUCUUGAUUCUGGGACACUGCACAGCCACAGCAGCCGCUUGGCUGGAAGUGAAGGUCAAGGCCACCAGGCAUCCCGUGGCCGAACCUGGCUCCUUCUCUUGGCUCCCAGCAGUCUCAUUUCCCCCGCGGGAAGGGCUAUUUAUAGAACAGAAAGAGCAGUUGCAGCCACACUUUACCCCACGAGCUCAACCCUCUGUGCCUUAGAGGGAAAACUUCCCUGCGGGUGACACCUGUGCACUGGCAAGACUUACUUGGGAGA
rnacentral:lncRNA from 1 species